rnacentral:rRNA from 1 species
AGAGUUUGAUCAUGGCUCAGAUUGAACGCUGGCGGCAGGCCUAACACAUGCAAGUCGAACGGUAACAGGAAGCAGCUUGCUGCUUCGCUGACGAGUGGCGGACGGGUGAGUAAUGUCUGGGAAGCUGCCUGAUGGAGGGGGAUAACUACUGGAAACGGUAGCUAAUACCGCAUAAUGUCGCAAGACCAAAGAGGGGGACCUUCGGGCCUCUUGCCAUCGGAUGUGCCCAGAUGGGAUUAGCUUGUUGGUGGGGUAACGGCUCACCAAGGCGACGAUCCCUAGCUGGUCUGAGAGGAUGACCAGCCACACUGGAACUGAGACACGGUCCAGACUCCUACGGGAGGCAGCAGUGGGGAAUAUUGCACAAUGGGCGCAAGCCUGAUGCAGCCAUGCCGCGUGUAUGAAGAAGGCCUUCGGGUUGUAAAGUACUUUCAGCGGGGAGGAAGGGAGUAAAGUUAAUACCUUUGCUCAUUGACGUUACCCGCAGAAGAAGCACCGGCUAACUCCGUGCCAGCAGCCGCGGUAAUACGGAGGGUGCAAGCGUUAAUCGGAAUUACUGGGCGUAAAGCGCACGCAGGCGGUUUGUUAAGUCAGAUGUGAAAUCCCCGGGCUCAACCUGGGAACUGCAUCUGAUACUGGCAAGCUUGAGUCUCGUAGAGGGGGGUAGAAUUCCAGGUGUAGCGGUGAAAUGCGUAGAGAUCUGGAGGAAUACCGGUGGCGAAGGCGGCCCCCUGGACGAAGACUGACGCUCAGGUGCGAAAGCGUGGGGAGCAAACAGGAUUAGAUACCCUGGUAGUCCACGCCGUAAAACGAUGUCGACUUGGAGGUUGUGCCCUUGAGGCGUGGCUUCCGGAGCUAACGCGUUAAGUCGACCGCCUGGGGAGUACGGCCGCAAGGUUAAAACUCAAAUGAAUUGACGGGGGCCCGCACAAGCGGUGGAGCAUGUGGUUUAAUUCGAUGCAACGCGAAGAACCUUACCUGGUCUUGACAUCCACGGAAGUUUUCAGAGAUGAGAAUGUGCCUUCGGGAACCGUGAGACAGGUGCUGCAUGGCUGUCGUCAGCUCGUGUUGUGAAAUGUUGGGUUAAGUCCCGCAACGAGCGCAACCCUUAUCCUUUGUUGCCAGCGGUCCGGCCGGGAACUCAAAGGAGACUGCCAGUGAUAAACUGGAGGAAGGUGGGGAUGACGUCAAGUCAUCAUGGCCCUUACGACCAGGGCUACACACGUGCUACAAUGGCGCAUACAAAGAGAAGCGACCUCGCGAGAGCAAGCGGACCUCAUAAAGUGCGUCGUAGUCCGGAUUGGAGUCUGCAACUCGACUCCAUGAAGUCGGAAUCGCUAGUAAUCGUGGAUCAGAAUGCCACGGUGAAUACGUUCCCGGGCCUUGUACACACCGCCCGUCACACCAUGGGAGUGGGUUGCAAAAGAAGUAGGUAGCUUAACCUUCGGGAGGGCGCUUACCACUUUGUGAUUCAUGACUGGGGUGAAGUCGGAACAAGGUAACCGUAGGGGAACCUGCGGUUG